rnacentral:rRNA from 1 species
CGCUGGCGGCAUGCCUUACACAUGCAAGUCGAACGGCAGCGACGGGAGCAAUCCUGGUGGCGAGUGGCGAACGGGUGAGUAAUAUAUCGGAACGUGCCCAGUCGUGGGGGAUAACGUAGCGAAAGCUACGCUAAUACCGCAUACGAUCUACGGAUGAAAGCGGGGGAUCGCAAGACCUCGCGCGAUUGGAGCGGCCGAUAUCAGAUUAGGUAGUUGGUGAGGUAAAGGCUCACCAAGCCGACGAUCUGUAGCUGGUCUGAGAGGACGACCAGCCACACUGGGACUGAGACACGGCCCAGACUCCUACGGGAGGCAGCAGUGGGGAAUUUUGGACAAUGGGCGCAAGCCUGAUCCAGCAAUGCCGCGUGCAGGAUGAAGGCCUUCGGGUUGUAAACUGCUUUGUACGGAACGAAACGGUGAGCUCUAAUACAGUUUGCUAAUGACGGUACCGUAAGAAUAAGCACCGGCUAACUACGUG